GAGGGUAGACCCCUCGGACUCGCUUUACAGGAAGUGAUUCCAAACCACCCAUAAGCUGCUUUGGUCAAAAGCCACGGUAGUGAGCAUUAUGGGAAAAGGCGAGGCUAUGACUUCGUCAGGU
rfam:Methanosarcina acetivorans str. C2A, complete genome.